rnacentral:rRNA from 1 species
AAUUAAAAUUAUUAAUAUUUUUAUUUGUUUUUUGAUUUUUUAUAAAAAUAAUUUAUUUAUAUAAGGUUUUAGUAUUUAGUAAAAAUUAAUUUUUAGAUUUAUAGUUUAAUAGUAUUGUAAAAGAAUUAAUUAGAUUUUAAAAAGAAUAUUUUUAGUACCUUUUGUAUCAGGGUUAAUUAAAAUUUUUAAUUUUUUUUUAAUUUCUCAAAAUUUAUAGAGUUAAUUUUAUUAUUAAUUUAUUGUUUUAUAAAUAUUUAAAAAAUAAUAUUGGUUUUGAAAUUUAAUUCGUUAUAAUAUAUUUAGUUAUUUAAGAUUUAAAUUUAAUUUAUAAUUUUAAAAGUUAUAUUAAUUUUAUAUAUAAAUAUUUUAAAUUUAAAUUAUUUUAGGGAUAAGCUUAAAAUUUUUAUAUAAUAAUUUAUUUAUUUUAAUAAUUUAUAGGAAUAGAAAUUUUUAUUUUAAGUUUGUAAAAAUUUAUUAUUUAUUUAUUUUUAAUUUAUUAUAAAUUUAUUUAUUUUUUUUAUUAAAUUUUAUAAAUUAAUAUUUAAUUUUUAGUAAUAAUGAUUAAAUUAGUAUAAUCUAAAUUUAUAAAUUAUGAAUUCGGCAAAAAUUAUUUUCAUCUGUUUAACAAAAACAUUGUAUUAAGAAGUUUAAUUUAAUAUAGGAUCUGCUCAAUGAUUUAUUAAAUAGCUGCAGUAUUUUGACUGUGCAAAGGUAGCAUAAUAAUUAGUCUUUUAAUUGAGGACUUGUAUGAAAGAUUUGAUGAGAAAUAAACUUUAUUAUUUAUAAAAUUAAAAUUUUAUUUUUAAGUAAAAAAGCUUAAAUUAUUUAAAGGGACGAUAAGACCCUAUAAAACUUUAUAAAUAUUAAUUUUAAUUUUUUUGGAUUUAUAAAUAUUUUAAUUUUAUUAUUUAUUUUAUUGGGGUGAUAAAAAAAAUUAAUAAACUUUUUUUAAAAUUUUACAUUAUUUAGUGAAUAUUUGAAUUAAAAUUUUUAAUUUAAGGGAAAAGUUACUUUAGGGAUAACAGCGUAAUUAAUUUUUUAAGUUCAAAUUUAAAAAUUAGUUUGCGACCUCGAUGUUGAAUUAAGAUUAAUCUUGGGUGCAAAAUUUUAAGUAUUAGGUCUGUUCGACCUUUAAAUUCUUACAUGAUUUGAGUUCAAACCGGUGUAAGCCAGGUUGGUUUCUAUCUUUUAAUAAAUGAUUUAUUUUAGUACGAAAGGAUUAAAUAAUUAAAUUAAAUUUUUGUUAAAUGAAUUAAAUUAAUUUA